rnacentral:rRNA from 1 species
CCUGGUUGAUCCUGCCAGUAAUCAUAUGCUUGUCUCAAAGAUUAAGCCAUGCAUGUCUAAGUACAUGCCGAAAUAAGGCGAAACCGCGAAUGGCUCAUUAAAUCAGUUAUGGUUCCUUAGAUCGUUUCUUCCUACUUGGAUAACUGUGGCAAUUCUAGAGCUAAUACAUGCAGUGAGCCUGGAGCCCUUUGGGUAACGGGUGCUUUUAUUAGACCAAGAUCGAUCGGGUUUCGGCCCGUAUUGUGUGGUGACUCUGGAUAACUUUGUGCUGAUCGCAUGGCCACGAGCCGGCGACGUUUCUUUCAAGUGUCUGCCUUAUCAACUUUCGAUGGUAGGUUACUUGCUUACCAUGGUUGUUACGGGUAACGGAGAAUCAGGGUUCGAUUCCGGAGAGGGAGCCUGAGAAACGGCUACCACAUCCAAGGAAGGCAGCAGGCGCGCAAAUUACCCACUCCCGGCACGGGGAGGUAGUGACGAAAAAUAACAAUACGGGACUCUUUUGAGGCCCCGUAAUUGAAAUGAGUACACUCUAAAUCCUUUAACGAGGAUCAAUUGGAGGGCAAGUCUGGUGCCAGCAGCCGCGGUAAUUCCAGCUCCAAUAGCGUAUACUAAAGUGCUCUUAAAAAGCUCGUAGUUGGAUCUCAGUUCCAGACGAGUAGUGCAUCUACCCGAUGCGACGGCUCGGACUGAACAUCAUGCCGGUUCUUUCUUGGUGCACUUCAUUGUGUGCCUCGAGAUGGCCGGUGCUUUUACUUUGAAAAAAUUAGAGUGCUCAACGCAGGCGAGUCGCCUGAAUAAACUUGCAUGGAAUAAUAGAACAAGACCUCGUUUCUGUUCUGUUGGUUUUUGGAAUACGAGGUAAUGAUUAAGAGGGACGGACGGGGGCAUUCGGAUUGCGGCGCUAGAGGUGAAAUUCUUGGACCGUCGCAAGACGAACUACUGCGAAAGCAUUUGCCAAGAAUGUUUUCAUUGAUCAAGAACGAAAGUCAGAGGUUCGAAGGCGAUCAGAUACCGCCCUAGUUCUGACCAUAAACGAUGCCAACCAGCGAUCCGCCUGAGUUACUCAAAUGACUCGGCGGGCAGCUUCCGGGAAACCAAAGUAUUUGGGUUCCGGGGGAAGUAUGGUUGCAAAGCUGAAACUUAAAGGAAUUGACGGAAGGGCACCACCAGGAGUGGAGCCUGCGGCUUAAUUUGACUCAACACGGGAAAACUUACCCGGCCCGGACACUGGGAGGAUUGACAGAUUGAGAGCUCUUUCUUGAUUCGGUGGAUGGUGGUGCAUGGCCGUUCUUAGUUGGUGGAGCCAUUUGUCUGGUUAAUUCCGUAACGAACGAGACUCUAGCCUAUUAAAUAGGUGCGGGGUUCCCAGCACCUUACAACCUUCUUAGAGGGACAAGCGGCUCCUAGCCGCACGAAACAGAGCAAUAACAGGUCUGUGAUGCCCUUAGAUGUCCGGGGCCGCACGCGCGCUACACUGAAGGAAGCAGCGUGUCUUUAUCCCUGUCUGAAAAGACUGGGUAACCCGUGGAACUUCUUUCGUGAUUGGGAUAGGGGCUUGCAAUUGUUCCCCUUGAACGAGGAAUUCCCAGUAAGCGCGAGUCAUAAGCUCGCGUUGAUUACGUCCCUGCCCUUUGUACACACCGCCCGUCGCUACUACCGAUUGAAUGAUUUAGUGAGGUCUUCGGACCGAUGUCCGGCGCGGCCUUUCGGUUGCGCCGGUCUGUUGGAAAGAUGACCAAACUUGAUCAUUUAGAGGAAGUAAAAGUCGUAACAAGGUUUCCGUAGGUGAACCUGCGGAAG